rnacentral:rRNA from 1 species
UACAGAGGGUGCGAGCGUUAAUCGGAAUUACUGGGCGUAAAGCGCGCGUAGGCGGCUUUUCAAGUCGAUUGUGAAAUCCCCGGGCUUAACCUGGGAACUGCAGUCGAGACUGUCUAGCUAGAGUAUGGGAGAGGGAAGUGGAAUUUCAGGUGUAGCGGUGAAAUGCGUAGAUAUCAGGAGGAACACCGGUGGCGAAGGCGGGUCUCUGGGCCGAUACUGACGCUGAGGAGCGAAAGCGUGGGGAGCGAACAGG